rnacentral:rRNA from 1 species
UACGGAGGGGGCUAGCGUUGUUCGGAAUUACUGGGCGUAAAGCGCACGUAGGCGGCUUUGUAAGUUAGAGGUGAAAGCCCGGGGCUCAACUCCGGAAUUGCCUUUAAGACUGCAUCGCUAGAAUCGUGGAGAGGUGAGUGGAAUUCCGAGUGUAGAGGUGAAAUUCGUAGAUAUUCGCAAGAACACCAGUGGCGAAGGCGGCUCACUGGCCCGAUACUGACGCUGAGGCACGAAAGCGUGGGGAGCAAACAGG